UACGGGGGGUGCGAGCGUUGUCCGGAAUCACUGGGCGUAAAGGGCGCGUAGGUGGUUUGAUAAGGGUGUGGUGAAAGCCCGGGGCUCAACCCCGGGUCUGCCGCGCCGACUGUCAAACUCGAGGGCUGUAGAGGCAGACGGAAUUCCGGGUGUAGCGGUGGAAUGCGUAGAGAUCCGGAGGAAGACCGGUGGCGAAGGCGGUCUGCUGGGCAGUUUCUGACACUGAUGCGCGACAGCGUGGGGAGCAAACAGG
rnacentral:rRNA from 1 species